UGGUAUUCUAGCUGACGCCACCUCUCCUUUCUUCAUGGUGAGCACCGUCGUGUCCAGCCCUUGGAUGACCUGCUCCUCGUCCGUCUUGAACUCGAAUGGUUCGUCGCCUUCAUGUCCUUUCUUCGUGAACACAGUGCCAUCGUCCAACUUGCCGAUCAGUCCCACUGCAAGCAAGAAGUAAUACAAGAUUAGCAACAGGAUUAGUAAUAACUUAUCCGACAAUUUUCAUAAGGUUGUGCAUGGAUUAGCAGCGCGCGCGCACCUCUGACAACUGCCCCAUCGUUGGGGCGCUCGUAGCCUUCUCCUUCCUUGAGCACCUUCUUCAAGAUCCUCUUGUCGUCACCGAUGAGGGUAACCGUCUUCCAGGAAACUAGCUGAAGAUCGAUGUGCAAUGUGGAAUUCGGGGGCACGGCGCCUUCAACUUCAGUAGCCGCCCUUCCUUGCUCGCCAAAACCAUCUGUCCAUCAUAAGAUGCGGUACAUUUAUGGAACUUUUGGAGUACAACAAAUGUAGGUCUGAAUUAACAGAUUUGAGGAGAGAUAGCUCACAUUGUGGCUUGACGGUCAGGAGGACCUUCUCGCCCUUCUUCAUGGUCUUCACGGCUUUGGAAAGUGCCGGGCAGAAGUAACCUGUAAUUUUAAAGGGAGAGUUGUGCAUCAGCGAUUCAGAGCUAAAUCCUGCUGUUCAAUUCGCCAAGGCUAACUGGAUUGACUAGAUACGAACCAUCCUUCACUGCGAAUUCAAUGCUCUCUGACUUGGACACGACGGAUCCAUCCUCAAGUCUCGCCUCGUACUUGACUGCGUGAGCAAACAUGGACAGUCAGAGAGGUGACAACGCGCGUAGCAAGAGCAGAUCGAUAACAAUUUCGUUGGAAUUGUACGGAAGUUCACCAUUUCGUUCACAUUAUACCGACGGACAUUCCAGUUGGCGACCCAAAAUCAUUAGGUUUCAAUAGAAAAAUCCGAUAACAGAUUAUUUCGUCAGUUAAUUUCAUACCAGAGUUUUGGAUUUUUAGCAGAACACAAACCAGAAUCACCAAAUAUUCAGUAAUUUGGUCGAAAUGGAAUCGCGAACCCAGUUAUUAGACACAACGUACCAGUAACUUCGUCGAGAUCCUUGGGAUUCUCCCAUUUCUGACCCUCGACCAGGACCUUCU
rnacentral:lncRNA from 1 species